GUACACGGUGGAUGCCCUGGCAGUCAGAGGCGAUGAAGGACGUGCUAAUCUGCGAUAAGCGUCGGUAAGGUGAUAUGAACCGUUAUAACCGGCGAUGUCCGAAUGGGGAAACCCGGUGCACUUCGGUGCAUCAUCGUUAGCUGAAUACAUAGGCUAACGAGGCGAACCGGGGGAACUGAAACAUCUAAGUACCCUGAGGAAAAGAAAUCAACCGAGAUUCCCUUAGUAGUGGCGAGCGAACGGGGACCAGCCCUUAAGUUGAUUUGAGAUUAGUGGAACGCUCUGGAAAGUGCGGCCAUAGUGGGUGAUAGCCCCGUAGACGAAGAUCUCUUAUCAAUGAAAUCGAGUAGGACGGAGCACGAGAAACUUUGUCUGAAUAUGGGGGGA
rnacentral:rRNA from 1 species